rnacentral:rRNA from 1 species
ACUGAAUCAUUCACAAUGGGCGCAAGCCUGAUGAUGCGACACCGCGUGCAGGAUGAAGGCCUUCGGGUUGUAAACUGCUGUCAAGGUCCAGAAAACAAAUGAUCGGACCUAGAGGAAGCACCGGCUAAAUUCGUGCCAGCAGCCGCGGUAAUACGAAUGGUGCAAGCGUUGUUCGGAAUCACUGGGCGUAAAGGGUGCGUAGGUGGUUUGUUAAGUCAGGUGUGAAAUCCCUCGGCCCAACCGGGGAACUGCAUUUGAUACUGGCAACCUCGAGAGUGCGAGAGGAAAGCGGAAUUCCAGGUGUAGCGGUGGAAUGCGUAGAUAUCUGGGAGAAGGCCGGAGGCGAAGGCGGCUUUCUGGCGCACAUCUGACACUGAGGCACGAAAGCGUGGGGAGCAAAC